CAACUGUGUGAAUUAAUGUGAACUGCAUACUGCUUUGAACAUCGACAUCUUGAACGCAUAUUGCGGCCAUGGGUUUGCCUGUGGCCACGCCUGUCCGAGGGUCGGCU
rnacentral:rRNA from 1 species